rnacentral:lncRNA from 1 species
GCUGCCAAAAUCUUAUCAAGGUGAGUUUAUAUGAUUUCAAUUACAAAAUCAUCGUCACAAAUCUCUUGGAUUUUUCUUAAUUUAGAACUUUACAACGUUGAAUUUCACCGUACAUAACGCAAGAUGGAUUGAGAUUGCUUAGCGAACAAAACCCUAAUUCAGAGCUAUGGAAGGUCAUAAAACCCAAAAUUGCAAGGCCUGGUAGGGUUCCCGUUACCACCUGCGUGUGGGAUUGUGACGGGAAGUCAGUUGCACGUGGUAUUGGUGAUGACUCUAUACAGAUAUGGAGUAUAUAGCCUGGGAGGGAAAAUCGACCAGACAUUUAUGUAGCCAGUGACUAAAAGAAAUAAAUUACAGUUGUAUAUCAACACCAUAUUUGUCUUUUGAUGCAGGAAAUCAAGUGCUAUAGUUGAAGGUUAACAAGUAGGUUCCUCAUUCGACAAAGGAACAACAUGUUGGAAGGGUGCAGGAUAUUCAAGGAGCUCUACAAAUGAGAAAAAU